rnacentral:rRNA from 1 species
AGUCGAUGGGAAACAGGUUAAUAUUCCUGUACUUGGUGUUACUGCGAAGGGGGGACGGAGAAGGCUAUGUUGGCCGGGCGACGGUUGUCCCGGUUUAAGCGUGUAGGCUGGUUUUCCAGGCAAAUCCGGAAAAUCAAGGCUGAGGCGUGAUGACGAGGCACUACGGUGCUGAAGCAACAAAUGCCCUGCUUCCAGGAAAAGCCUCUAAGCAUCAGGUAACAUCAAAUCGUACCCCAAACCGACACAGGUGGUCAGGUAGAGAAUACCAAGGCGCUUGAGAGAACUCGGGUGAAGGAACUAGGCAAAAUGGUGCCGUAACUUCGGGAGAAGGCACGCUGAUAUGUAGGUGAAGCGACUUGCUCGUGGAGCUGAAAUCAGUCGAAGAUACCAGCUGGCUGCAACUGUUUAUUAAAAACACAGCACUGUGCAAACACGAAAGUGGACGUAUACGGUGUGACGCCUGCCCGGUGC